GACGAACGCUGGCGGCGUGCUUAAUACAUGCAAGUCGAACGAAGUGGCGAACGGGUGAGUAAUACGUGGGUAACCUGCCCUCAUUCAUGGGAUAAGUCUUGGAAACGGGGUCUAAUACCGAAUAGUGGGGGAUGGGCUCGCGGCCUAUCAGCGUGUUGGUGGGGUAAUGGCCUACCAAGGAGGUGACGGGUAGCCGGCCUGAGAGGGUGACUGGCCACAUUGUGACUGAGAUACGGCCCAGAAUCCUACGGGAGGAAGCAGUGGGGGAUAUUGCACAAUGGGCGAAAGCCUGAUGCAGCGACGCCGCGUGGAGGGUGAAGGCUUUCGGGUUGUAAACCUGUUUCGCUAGCGAACGGGUAGGUGGAGAAGAAGCGCCGGCUAACUACGUGCCAGCAGCCGCGGUAAUUC
rnacentral:rRNA from 1 species